rnacentral:rRNA from 1 species
CGGGACGGGUGAGUAAUGUCUAGGGAAACUGCCUGAGGAGGGGGAAUAACUACGGAAAACGGUAGCUAAUACCGCAUAACGUCGCAAGACCAAAGAGGGGGACCUUAGGGCCUCUUGCCAUCGGAUGUGCCCAGAUGGGAUUAGCUAGUAGGUGGGGUAAAGGCUCACCUAGGCGACGAUCCCUAGCUGGUCUGAGAGGAUGACCAGCCACACUGGAACUGAGACACGGUCCAG